UCCCAGUUCGUAAAGGUGAUGCUCCUCCCCUCCCCUGCCUCCUCAGCCAAUCAAGACGCUCACCAGGCCCAGCUUCCUUGCUUUGUCCCACCUCCUUGACCGAUCUCCCAGUCACGAGCAAGACCACAGACUUCUCUGCCCCGCCCUUUUUUCUGAGUGGCAGAUCAGCCGAGAGGGCGGGGCCAAGAAGCCUGAGCUGCUGCUGGGACCAGGAGAUCAGUUGAAGAUCACAAAGGCUGGGCCUGGUGAGGGGCUGAUGGAGCCAGAUGAGGCGGUGGAGGGGAGUAGUGGCACCUGUGCUGUCGUCUUGACGAACUGGGACAAACUGGUUUGUGCCCAUCUCUAUUCUGUACCCCAGCUAUAGGUAUAGCUAUAUCCUUUACAAACUGGGAUGAACUGGUUUGUGUCCAUCUUUGUUGGGAACCACUGCUCUGAAAGGAUGGCUUAGAUCCAUAAAGCUGUGGGUGCAGAUAGAAAUGCUCACCAAACAUGUCCAGCCUGAUUACCUGUUUCGGAGAAAGUAGAGGAAGUUGUACAGGCGCAGACGGACCCUGAGCCUGUUCCUCAUCAGUGUGUGUGAUUCUGGAAUGACGACCGAGCUGGCCCAACACAAGCAGACUAUCAACUAUUUGCAGCUCCAUUAAGCAGAACUCGAUGGAGAGAAUUAAGACACGGCAAGCAUUUUCUUGUUAACAGGCCUGGAAGACGUCGGCAGCACCAAAGGCCCCCAUGAGCCCAUAACAGCAAUGCUGAAGGAGAGGUUUGCAGCCAGAUCUAUGGUCCAGGACCACGUCUGUCCUGUUUAGAGAGGCUGGACAAUACCAUCUUGUUGCCAGCUCAUGGGGACAUUCCUUGGCCCAUCGCUCCUCAAGCCCUUUGCAGAGUCAUCAGUUCAAAAUCCGUUUUUGAAGCGUUGACAAGAAGCACAGCGGGAGUUGGGCGGUCUGCCAGGCAACGAUGUCAAGGUUGGCAGGAGGUGAAACUGCAGCGGUGGAAAAAAGAGACGUUGUUUUGCUGCGAAGUCAAAGGAUUCCUGGCGAUCCUGUCUGUUCCCGGCAAUAACAGUCCCAUCUGUCAAAAGUUCCCUAGGAAACAGGAAAAAAAGGUGAUGGAAAAUAAGGACCUAGGCAGAUGUCUGGUUGAAAAACAGCAGGUCCUCCUCUUUUUUCCUUCUCAAUAUAUAUAAAUUAUUCGCCAAAACUGCAUUGUGUAAAAUUCUUGUCCCUGUUGACAAUCAGAGUUCGGAUUGCUCAUAAUAAUCCACAUAAUGCUAAGAAUGCUCUUUCGCCCUCUGGAAUGUUACCCUUUCCCCCAUCCUUAUUCAUCCCU
rnacentral:lncRNA from 1 species